AGGGCCCGAAGGUCGUGGUACCAAAACCCCCCAGCGGAAAAAUGGCCAAAAAACGGGUGGGCUAUAGCCUUGGUGGGGGGCGCGGGCGAAGUUCGUCCGCCGGACUCGGAAUGGGGCGAGACUUUGCGAGGGGCCUCGGGGUGCCCGCGGGAAGUCGCGGGCACAGCCGCGUCCAAAAAUAAGCGCCCGAAGGUCGUGGUGCCAAAACCCCCCAGCGGAAAAAUGGCCAAAAAACGGGUGGGCUAUAACCUUGGUGGGGGGCGCGGGCGAAGUUCGUCCGCCGGACUCGGAAUGGGGCGAGACUUUGAGAGGGGCCUCGGGGUGCCCGCGGGAAGUCGCGGGCACAGCCGCAUCCAAAAAUAAGGGCCCGAAGGUCGUCGUGCCAAAACCCCCCAGCGGAAAAAUGGCCAAAAAACGGGUGGGCUUUAGCCUUGGUGGGGGGCGCGGGCGAAGUUCGUCCGCCGGACUCGGAAUGGGGCGAGACUUUGCGAGGGGCCUCGGGGUACCCGCGGGAAGUCGCGGGCACAGUCGCGCCCAAAAAUAAGCCCCCGAAGGUCGUGGUGCCAAAACCCCCCAGCGGAAAAAUGGCCAAAAAACGGGUGGGCUAUAGCCUUGGUGGGGGGCGCGGGCGAAGUUCGUUCGCCGGACUUGGAAUGGGGCGAGACUUUGCGAGGGGCCUCGCGGUGCCCGCGGGAAGUCGCGGGCACAGCCGCGUCCAGAAAUAAGCGCCCGAAGGUCGUGGUGCCAAAACCCCCCAGCGGAAAAAUGGCCAAAAAACGGGUGGGCUACAGCCUUGGUGGGGGGCGCGGGCGAAGUUCGUCCGCCGGACUCGGAAUGGGGCGAGACUUUGCGAGGGGCCUCGGGGUGCCCGCGGGAAGUCGCGGGCACAGCCGCGUCCAGAAAUAAGUGCCCGAAGGUCGUGGUGCCAAAACCCCCCAGCGGAAAAAUGGCCAAAAAACGGGUGGGCUAUAGCCUUGGUGGGGGGCGCGGGCGAAGUUCGUCCGCCGGACUCGGAAUGGGGCGAGACUUUGCGAGGGGCCUCGGGGUGCCAAAAAUAAGCCGCGGGCAAAGCCGCGCCCAAAAAUAAGCGCCCACAGGUCGUGGUGCCAAAACCCCCCAGCGGAAAAAUGGCCAAAAAACGGGUGGGCUAUAGCCUUGGUGGGGGGCGCUGGCGAAGUUCGUCCGCCGGACUCGGAAUGGGACGAGACUUUGCGAGGGGCCUCGGGGCACCAAAAAUAAGCCGCGGGCAAAGCCGCGCCCAAAAAUAAGCGCCCGAAGGUCGUGGUGCCAAAAGCCCCCAGCGGAAAAAUGGCCAAAAAACGGGUGGGCUAUAGCCUUGGUGGGGGGCGCGGGCGAAGUUCGUCCGCCGGACUUGGAAUGGGGCGAGACUUUGCGAGGGGCCUCGGGGUGCCCGCGGGAAGUCGCAGGCACAGCCGCGUCCAGAAAUAAGCGCCCGAAGGUCGUAGUGCCAAAACCCCCUAGCGGAAAAAUGGCCAAAAAACGGGUGGGCUAUAGCCUUGUUGGGGGGCGCGGGCGAAGUUUGUCCGCCGGACUCGGAAUGGGGCGAGACUUUGCGCGGGGCCUCGGGGCGCCAAAAAUAACCAGCGGGCAAAGCCGCGCCCAAAAAUAAGUGCCCGAAGGUCGUGGUGCCAAAACCCCCCAGCGGAAAAAUGGCCAAAAAACGGGUGGGCUAUAGCCUUGGUGGGGGGCGCGGGCGAAGUUCGUCCGCCGGACUCGGAAUGGGGCGAGACUUUGCGAGGGGCCUCGGGGCACCAAAAAUAAGCCGCGGGCAAAGCCGCGCCCAAAAAUAAGUGCCCGAAGGUCGUGGUGCCAAAAGCCCCCAGCGGAAAAAUGGCCAAAAAACGGGUGGGCUAUAGCCUUGGUGGGGGGCGCGGGCGAAGUUCGUCCUCCGGACUUGGAAUGGGGCGAGACAUUGCGAGGGGCCUCGGGGUGCCAGCGGGAAGUCGCGGGCACAGCCGCGUCCAAAAAUAAGCGCCCGAAGGUCGUGGUGCCAAAACCCCCCAGCGGAAAAAUGGCCAAAAAACGGGUGGGCUAUAGCCUUGGUGGGGGGCGCGGGCGAAGUUCGUCCGCCGGACUCGGAAUGGGGCGAGACUUUGCGAGGGGCCUUGGGGUGCCAAAAAUAAAUCGCGGGCAAAGCCGCGCCCAAAAAUAAGCGCCCAAAGGUCGUGGUCCUAAAACCCCCCAGCGGAAAAAUGGCCAAAAAACGGGUGGGCUAUAGCCUUGGUGGGGGGCGCGGGCGAAGUUCGUCCUCCGGACUUGGAAUGGGGCGAGACAUUGCGAGGGGCCUCGGGGUGCCAGCGGGAAGUCGCGGGCACAGCCGCGUCCAGAAAUAAGCGCCCGACGGUCGUGGUGCCAAAACCCCCCAGCGGAAAAAUGGCCAAAAAACGGGUGGGCUAUAGCCUUGGUGGGGGGCGCGGGCGAAGUUCGUCCGCCGGACUCGGAAUGGGGCGAGACUUUGCGAGGGGCCUCGGGGUGCCAAAAAUAAGCCGCGGGCAAAGCCGCACCCAAAGGUCGUGGUGCCAAAACCCCCCAGCGGAAAAAUGGCCAAAAAACGGGUGGGCUAUAGCGUUGGUGGGGGGCGCGGGCGAAGUUCGUCCGCCGGACUCGGAAUGGGGCGAGACUUUGCGCGGGGCCUCGGAGCGCCAAAAAUAAGCCGCGGGCAAAGCCGCGCCCAAAAAUAAGCGCCCGAAGGUCGUGGUGCCAAAACCCCCCAGCGGAAAAAUGGCCAAAAAACGGGUGGGCUAUAGCCUUGGUGGGGGGCGCGGGCGACGUUCGUCCGCCGGACUUCGAAUGGGGCGAGACUUUGCGCGGGGCCUCGGGGCGCCAAAAAUAAGCCGCGGGCAAAGCCGCGCCCAAAAAUAAGCGCCCGAAGGUCGUGGUGCCAAAACCCCCCAGCGGAAAAAUGGCCAAAAAACGGGUGGGCUAUAGCCUUGGUGGGGGGCGCGGGCGAAGUUCGUCCGCCGGACUCGGAAUGGGGCGAGACUUUGCGCGGGGCCUCGGGGCGCCAAAAAUAAGCCGCGGGCAAAGCCGCGCCCAAAAAUAAGCGCCCGAAGGUCGUGGUGCCAAAAGCCCCCAGCGGAAAAAUGGCCAAAAAACGGGUGGGCUAUAGCCUUGGUGGGGGGCGUGGGCGAAGUUCGUCCGCCGGACUAGGAAUGGGGCAAGACUUUGCGAGGGGCCUCGGGGUGCCUGCGGGAAGUCGCGGGCACAGCCGCGCCCAAAAAUAAGCGCCCGAAGGUCGUGUUGCCAAAACCCCCCAGCGGAAAAAUGGCCAAAAAACGGGUGGGCUAUAGCCUUGGUGGGGGGCGCGGGCGAAGUUCGUCCGCCGGACUCGGAAUGGGGCGAGACUUUACGAGGUGCCUCGCGGUGCCAAAAAUAAGCCGCGGGCAAAGCCGCGCCCAAAAAUAAGCGCCCGAAGGUCGUGGUGCCAAAACCCCCCAGUGGAAAAAUGGCCAAAAAACGGGUGGGCUAUAGCCUUGGUGGGGGGCGCGGGCGAAGUUCGUCCGCCGGACUUGGAAUGGGGAGAGACUUUGCGAGGGGCCUCGGGGUGCCCGUAGGAAGUCGCGGGCACAGCCGCGUCCAGAAAUAAGCGCCCGAAGGUCGUGGUGCCAAAACCCCCCAGCGGAAAAAUGGCCAAAAAACGGGUGGGCUAUAGCCUUGCUGGGGGGCGCGGGCGAAGUUCGUCCGCCGGACUCGGAAUGGGGCGAGACUUUGCGCGGGGCCUCGGGGCGCCAAAAAUAAGCCGCGGGCAAAGCCGCGCCCAAAAAUAAGCGCCCGAAGGUCGUGGUGCCAAAACCCCCCAGCGGAAAAAUGGCCAAAAAACGGGUGGGCUAUAGCCUUGGUGGGGGGCGCGGGCGAAGUUCGUCCGCCGGACUCGGAAUGGGGCGAGACUUUGCGAGGGGCCUCGGGGCAACAAAAAUAGGCCGCGGGCAAAGCCGCGCCCAAAAAUAAGCGCCCGAAGGUCGUGGUGCCAAAAGCCCCCAGCGGAAAAAUGGCCAAAAAACGGGUGGGCUAUAGCCUUGGUGGGGGGCGCGGGCGAAGUUCGUCCGCCGGACUUGGAAUGGGGCGAGACUUUGCGAGGGGCCUCGGGGUGCCCGCGGGAAGUCGCGGGCACAGCCGCGUCCAGAAAUAAGCGCCCGAAGGUCGUAGUGCCAAAACCCCCUAGCGGAAAAAUGGCCAAAAAACGGGUGGGCUAUAGCCUUGUUGGGGGGCGCGGGCGAAGUUUGUCCGCCGGACUCGGAAUGGGGCGAGACUUUGCGCGGGGCCUCGGGGCGCCAAAAAUAACCAGCGGGCAAAGCCGCGCCCAAAAAUAAGUGCCCGAAGGUCGUGGUGCCAAAACCCCCCAGCGGAAAAAUGGCCAAAAAACGGGUGGGCUAUAGCCUUGGUGGGGGGCGCGGGCGAAGUUCGUCCGCCGGACUCGGAAUGGGGCGAGACUUUGCGAGGGGCCUCGGGGCACCAAAAAUAAGCCGCGGGCAAAGCCGCGCCCAAAAAUAAGUGCCCGAAGGUCGUGGUGCCAAAAGCCCCCAGCGGAAAAAUGGCCAAAAAACGGGUGGGCUAUAGCCUUGGUGGGGGGCGCGGGCGAAGUUCGUCCUCCGGACUUGGAAUGGGGCGAGACAUUGCGAGGGGCCUCGGGGUGCCAGCGGGAAGUCGCGGGCACAGCCGCGUCCAGAAAUAAGCGCCCGAAGGUCGUGGUGCCAAAACCCCCCAGCGGAAGAAUGGCCAAAAAACGGGUGGGCUAUAGCCUUGGUGGGGGGCGCGGGCGAAGUUCGUCCGCCGGACUCGGAAUGGGGCGAGACUUUGCGAGGGGCCUUGGGGUGCCAAAAAUAAAUCGCGGGCAAAGCCGCGCCCAAAAAUAAGCGCCCAAAGGUCGUGGUCCUAAAACCCCCCAGCGGAAAAAUGGCCAAAAAACGGGUGGGCUAUAGCCUUGGUGGGGGGCGCGGGCGAAGUUCGUCCUCCGGACUUGGAAUGGGGCGAGACAUUGCGAGGGGCCUCGGGGUGCCAGCGGGAAGUCGCGGGCACAGCCGCGUCCAGAAAUAAGCGCCCGACGGUCGUGGUGCCAAAACCCCCCAGCGGAAAAAUGGCCAAAAAACGGGUGGGCUAUAGCCUUGGUGGGGGGCGCGGGCGAAGUUCGUCCGCCGGACUCGGAAUGGGGCGAGACUUUGCGAGGGGCCUCGGGGUGCCAAAAAUAAGCCGCGGGCAAAGCCGCACCCAAAGGUCGUGGUGCCAAAACCCCCCAGCGGAAAAAUGGCCAAAAAACGGGUGGGCUAUAGCGUUGGUGGGGGGCGCGGGCGAAGUUCGUCCGCCGGACUCGGAAUGGGGCGAGACUUUGCGCGGGGCCUCGGAGCGCCAAAAAUAAGCCGCGGGCAAAGCCGCGCCCAAAAAUAAGCGCCCGAAGGUCGUGGUGCCAAAACCCCCCAGCGGAAAAAUGGCCAAAAAACGGGUGGGCUAUAGCCUUGGUGGGGGGCGCGGGCGAAGUUCGUCCGCCGGACUCGGAAUGGGACGAGACUUUGCGAGGGGCCUCGGACUGCCCACGGGAAGUUGCGGGCACAGCCGCGUCCAAAAAUAAGCGCCCGAAGGUCGUGGUGCCAAAACCCCCCAGCGGAAAAAUACCCAAAAAACGGGUGGGCUAUAGCCUUGGUGGGGGGCGCGGGCGAAGUUCGUCCGCCGGACUCGGAAUGGGGCGAGACUUUGCGAGGGGCCUCGGGGUGCUAAAAAUAAGCCGCGGGCAAGGCCGCGCCCAAAAAUAAGCUCCCGAAGGUCGUGGUGCCAAAACCCCCCAGCAGAAAAAUGGCCAAAAAACGGGUGGGCUAUAGCCUUGGUGGGGGGCGCGGGCGAAGUUCGUCCGCCGGACUUGGAAUGGGGCGAGACUUUGCGAGGGGCCUCGGGGUGCCAGCGGGAAGUCGCGGGCACAGCCGCGUCCAGAAAUAAGCGCCCGAAGGUCGUGGUGCCAAAACCCCCCAGCGGAAAAAUGGCCAAAAAACGGGUGGGCUAUAGCCUUGGUGGGGGGCGCGGGCGAAGUUCGUCCGCCGGACUCGGAAUGGGCCGAGACUUUGCGAGGGGCCUCGGGGUGCCAAAAAUAAAUCGCGGGCAAAGCCGCGCCCAAAAAUAAGCGCCCGAAGGUCGUGGUCCUAAAACCCCCCAGCGGAAAAAUGGCCAAAAAACGGGUGGGCUACAGCCUUGGUGGGGGGCGCGGACGAAGUUCGUCCGCCGGAGUCGGAAUGGUACGAGACUUUGCGAGGGGCCUCGGGGCACCAAAAAUAAGCCGCGGGCAAAGCCGCGCCCAAAAAUAAGCCGCGGGCAAAGCCGCGCCCAAAAAUAAGCGCCCGAAGGUCGUGGUGCCAAAACCCCCCAGCGGAAAAAUGGCCAAAAAACGGGUGGGCUAUAGCCUUGGUGGGGGGCGCAGGCGAAGUUCGUCCGCCGGACUCGGAAUGGGGCGAGACUUUGCGAGGGGCCUCGGGGUGCCCGCGGGAAGUUGCGGGCACAGCCGCGCCCAAAAAUAAGCGCCCGAAGGUCGUGGUGCCAAAACCCCCCAGCGGAAAAAUGGCCAAAAAACGGGUGGGCUAUAGCCUUGGUGGGGGGCGCGGGCGAAGUUCGUCCGCCGGACUCGGAAUGGGACGAGACUUUGCGAGGGGCCUCGGACUGCCCACGGGAAGUUGCGGGCACAGCCGCGUCCAAAAAUAAGCGCCCGAAGGUCGUGGUGCCAAAACCCCCCAGCGGAAAAAUAGCCAAAAAACGGGUGGGCUAUAGCCUUGGUGGGGGGCGCGGGCGAAGUUCGUCCGCCGGACUCGGAAUGGGGCGAGACUUUGCGAGGGGCCUCGGGGUGCCAAAAAUAAGCUGCGGGCAAGGCCGCGCCCAAAAAUAAGCUCCCGAAGGUCGUGGUGCCAAAACCCCCCAGCGGAAAAAUGGCCAAAAAACGGGUGGGCUAUAGCCUUGGUGGGGGGCGCGGGCAAAGUUCGUCCGCCGGACUGGGAAUGGGGCGAGACUUUGCGAGGGGCCUCGGGUGCCCGAGGGAAGUGGCGGGCACAGCCGCGGCCAGAAAUAAUCGCCCGAAGGUCGUGGUGCCAAAACCCCCUAGCGGAAAAAUGGCCAAAAAACGGGUGGGCUAUAGCCUUGGUGGGGGGCGCGGGCGAAGUUCGUCCGCCGGACUCGGAAUGGGGCGAGACUUUGCGCGGGGCCUCGG
rnacentral:lncRNA from 1 species